CCAAGGAUCCAUCACGAUGUGUAACCUCGGCCAAGAAUGCAUACCAAAUUACCAAAUACUUGAUGAGCAUUAGAGAGAGCAGCAUUGCAGUAUGAAUAUGACCAAAUGAGUUCUUGCAUUUGAUAUAAGUUCUGUCCAAUCCUAAUCAAAGCAAAAUGACUGCUAUAUAGAGCUCUCCUGUUUCCUAGAACAAGAGUGUUGUAGACAAACAAAGUGUUCCCAAAUCUCCCACAUGCUGAAGACCGAAAAACAUCUUGGAGAUGCAAAUUGACA
rnacentral:misc_RNA from 1 species